CUGGCCUUGGUCGUCUCCAACAUCGUUCUGGGGAUAGUGACCCUUCUACUUGUCUGGGCGCUGUGCAAGACUCGGAACAGAGAUAGCAGAGGGAGGACAGAUGUCCCAACAUCCCAGGGCAAUCAGAAUCAAGACAGUGAUGUGUUGAACUAUGCAGCUGUGAGUUUCACCCCCAAGAAGAACUCCUCCUCCUCUAGAAGAGCAAGAGAGAAGACCAGCAGAGAGGAUGCAGUGUACUCUGAGGUCAGAUACAUGCAGCAGCAGUGAGAGGUAUCACCACUGUCACAAAGACUCCAAGAAGAACCAUUUAACUAUUUGUAGCCUAAUGAAACUUUUAGGAUCUGAAAUUGGUAAGGAAUUUACA